rnacentral:tRNA from 1 species
AGUAAAGUCAGCUAAUUAAGCUUUCGGGCCCAUACCCCGACAAUGUUGGUUCCUAACCCUUCCUAUACUA